CCAAAGGCUCUUUUCAGAGCCCCCACCCAUUCAAAUGAGGAGCUAA
rfam:Fukomys damarensis contig90625, whole genome shotgun sequence.